CUGUGUUUUCGGAAGUAACUACGGUACUACGGAGCUCAGAUCAAAUACAAUAUUUGUAUUUGUCAUUUUUUUAGGAUUCCUUUUUUGAAGAUGCGCUGAAUAGGCACUUUGAUACCAACCGCAGUUCCUAGUCGUACAUGAUGUCUCGUGCCAAUGACGGGGGGCUUAUACUGAAACAUGGAAGAGCAUAAACCUUGCAGAAGCAACAUCAACCAUGGCGGAGUCCACCAGCAAGCGAUCCUCAGAUCCUACAUCUCCUGUAGUUAAACCAAAGAAAAUCAGACCGAUGUGUCGUGUGCGUAGCGACAAAUCUCGGGGGAAGACAAGGGUGAACAUUGGUGCGAAUUUUCCGAGAUGGAGAACACUGCGGGACCGAAAGGGAUUUCGGAGGGAUGCGGAUCUGGCUCGAUUUCUUCUAGACAGCUAUGAAAGUAGCCUACUGACCUCCAAAACACAAAGGCAGAAGAGACACACGACUUCAGCCCCUGCGGGGUCCAGCACCGAAUCACUUUCUCCAGAUCGCUAUGAAAGUAGCCUACCGACCUCCAAAACACGAAGGCAGAAGAGACACAAGACUCCUGCCCCUGCGGGGUCCAGCACCGAAUCACUUUCUCCAGAUCGAAACGCUUCGCUCCAUGACCAACUCUCUGCUCUCCAUCAUUCCCUCCCUUUAGACUGUUGGAUUUCACCGGCCUCACUGAAGCAAAUGUCCAGUUUGAAUCUGGGCCUCAGUCUCCGAGACCAUUAAGCCCCGCCUCUUCAGGUGAAGACAUGAAGACAGAACCUGUGACGGACAGCACAGAUUACACAGGGCUGGAGCUCAGAUCCUGUCUGAUUAAAAGUGAAGACGCAGAGGAGAGUAUAGAGAGGAAGAAUGGAUGUGGGAUGAGCAGGGAGGAAGAACUCAUUCUCUCCAACAUAAAGGAAGAGGAGGAGGAUGGAGGGAUGAGGGACACUGUGGAGGUGAAGUGGGUGGAUGGUGUGAAAGUUGAAGUGGUUGAGGUGUCGGGGAAGUGAAGGUUAAGGUGAAACGUGGUCAAUUUCUGAAUCCAGCUAUUUUAACAGCCUCACUUAACGUUCGGCACUCUGAUUUCCGAACACAAGCGCAUCAACUGUUAAAACCCUUCACUUAUCCAACAUGUAAAAUAAAUGUAUUUGAUUUGAUUUAUUAAUUUUUAUCUAAAAUAUCAAUUAUCAAUUAAAUUGACAAAUCCUUUGAUGGGCAGAGCAACCUGGUGGAUUAACCUUUAUGAAGAUGGACAAUUCACAAGAAUUGUGAAUCGACAGGUUCAACUUCUAGAAUCUACAGACGGGUUCAACUUCCUUCAAGUUUACAGACAUGGACAAGUACCAGUCACAAAAGAAAAUAAUGAAAGGAAGUGCCGAACCUCAGCGUGUGUCUCACAAAACAACCCCCGAAACUGAAAUGAAAGUUCCAAAGACCAGAAGGCAGAUGAAUCUGAAAUCAUUGAUGGGAAAAUGGGAAAAUGGCCAGAGCAGCUGUAAGGCAGAAUCCAAGACCGCGGCAGAAGCAUCAACCCCCCAAACUCCACCAUCUUGACUCCCUGUAAGUGUCGGUGAGAAUAAGCCAUCCAAGUCAAGGAAGGCUUGUAAUGUAAUGUAAUGUAAUUUUAUCUGCUUAAAAUAAAAGGGGGAGAAUACCUUGCCCUCAGAGGGGCACAGCUGGAAGAUGGACACUGGGAGAGGCAGAACUGACUUGGCUGAUCUCAUCAAAAGAUUCAGGAUUUUAGGAGACCAAACAUAAACAUUCUAAGAGGUGCACAAGCUCUAAGGAAAGAGGUUCCUUCUACUUCCAGCAAUAGAGGUGAGACUUGUAGACAAAUAAUUGCUAAAUACAGUCAGCUGCAACCCGCACCUGAAAGAAACACGUGUUCCAUGAAACAAAACCAGAUCUCACCACGUUGGUUUCCGCUCAAAGCCGGAAUUGCUGAAAAAAAAGAAUGCAGAUCUCAACUGUCAGGAUUCAACGACCAUUAUCUGUGUAUCAACUUUUGAGAUUUUCAGUCAAUGAUUUCAGUUAGAUGCUCAUUUCAAAUCAAAAGGUCUUUGUUCCUUUCAGCAUGUGGAAAGUUGGGUGUGGUAGUCUCUCAAAGGCGAUAUAUAUAUAGACCAGUUAUCCAACAGAGGUAUUUGGGUGGAAAGAAGAAAGAGAGUGAUGGAGAUAAAAUGGAACAAAAAAAUGAAAGAAGAAGAGUGCAGAAAGAAGGCGGGACGUCCACACUGCGGACACAGGAAGAUGAGGGCGUGUCAUCAACAGUUACUUCCUGUCUGCUCAAACAGCCGAGAGUACCCUCCCCAGGAUCUCCGGUCAUCUCCUCCAGGUUAGGGCAGUCUGAGGUGUUUGGAUGCUCCCAGUGCCCAUUCGCUCACCUGGAAGAAGUGAAGCUUCACCAGCACGUUGAGAAGGUGCACCCAGAGGAGCACAGCAGGGUUCUGAGAUCUGGAGGAAACGGAGAAGAGAAGCCACUGCUUCCCAGCAGCACACAUCAGCACCCCACACCCCCUAAAACACUCCCCACCCCAACACAGGCCCACACAGGCACUGCAGGGGCCCUCACCUGCUCCCACAUCCCCUAAAACACUGGUUUGUCUGGAUUGUAUGGAUUCCCCUUUAUGCUUUUAUGGGGUUUUACAUCCUGGAGGUACAUGCAGGGGGAUUCCCAUUCCAAUGCUCACAGUGUGGGAAGAGUUCUAAAUCUACUAUCAUGACUGAGUGUGGUCUCUUUCUCUCUGUGGGUUGGGCCAACGGAUGUUGUGGUGUUCAUAUUUUCACAACAUUGCGUAAGUUUUGUUUUGUUCUUUUGUAAAAGUGAGAACAAUGAAAAUCGGGCAAAACAAAAAGGUGGGUGUCUGAAGAGGUUCAGAAAAUGUUCAAGACACAAACGUUCUCCCAAACCUUCCUUUGAGCAAGGAAGCAAGGACUUUCUAUUUGCAUGAUUCAUGUUUUCUCAAUCUCCCCAUGUCUCACCUCUUUUUCUAGCCUCUCCCGAUUGGUGGAACUAGGAGUAUGAAAAGGAGAAAGGAAAGGAGAUGGGAAGGGAAUAAUAAGUGACUGGAAAGAGCCACGGGUCCUAUACUCGGGGUUUUUAACAUCUUUCUGUAUGGGUUUAAAAUUGGUUUCCAUUACCAACGGUGCCAGAAAGUUUAACCCAGUUUUAAAUUCUGAAUUGGUAUUUUUAAUAUCUAAUGCUGCACUUGGAUCCUGGAAAAUUAAAAAUGCAACGGUGCUGGCAUCAGUUGGUAGUGAUUACUUUCACCAGAGCAGACUCCAUAGCGCUGUAAGACCGAAGGCUUGACUGGACUUUUUUUUUUUUUUUUCUGAUACUUUUCCAUGAAAAUGAGU